AAUGGGGGAAACCCUGAUGCAGCAACGCCGCGUGAGCGAUGAAGGCCUUCGGGUUGUAAAGCUCUGUCUUCAGGGACGAUAAUGACGGUACCUGAGGAGGAAGCCACGGCUAACUACGUGCCAGCAGCCGCGGUAAUACGUAGGUGGCAAGCGUUGUCCGGAAUUAUUGGGCGUAAAGGAUGCGUAGGUGGUCCUUUAAGUGGGAUGUGAAAUCCCUGGGCUUAACCCAGGAAUUGCAUUCCAAACUGGAGGACUAGAGUGCAGGAGAGGAAAGUGGAAUUCCCAGUGUAGCGGUGAAAUGCGUAGAGAUUGGGAGGAACACCAGUGGCGAAGGCGGCUUUCUGGACCGAUACUGACGCUGAGACGCGAAAGCGUGGGUAGCAAA
rnacentral:rRNA from 1 species